ACAUGUUUGAAAUAUUGAAGAUUCAAUCAACCAAAGGAUCAUCUAUUAAUGAUUUGAAGUGUUGAAGAUAGGAUCAAUCAUGCAAUCACUCAAGUAAAGUCAAAAGGAAGACAAAAUUUGAAUUAAAAUGAAUUAUUUAAAAAUGGAAAUUAAAGAGAAAAUUUCAAAUCAUAAGCAAAAUAAUGAAUAAAUAGCUAAGAAAAAUACAUAAAGUCUAAAAUAUUACUCAUGGAUGGAUUUCAAAAGUUGGAUGCAAAAAGGUUUGAAAAUGAUUAAAAAAUAAAUUUCAGAAGGAAAUUAAAAAGAAAAUGAAAUAAAAAUAACAAAAAAUGCAAAAAUGAUUUUAAAAAAUGGGAGAAAAUGUCUGGAUGCAAAAUAUUUUUAGAGACUUUGUGUAAAAAAUUUGGAUCAAAUUGAAUUAAAAAUGAGUGAGAAAUUAAUUUGAAAAUAAAUGAAAU
rnacentral:lncRNA from 1 species